UAGGGAAUCUUCCACAAUGGACGCAAGUCUGAUGGAGCAACGCCGCGUGAGUGAAGAAGGUUUUCGGAGCGUAAAGCUCUGUUGUUGGUGAAGAAGGAUAGAGGUAGUAACUGGCCUUUAUUUGACGGUAAUCAACCAGAAAGUCACGGCUAACUACGUGCCAGCAGCCGCGGUAAUACGUAGGUGGCAAGCGUUGUCCGGAUUUAUUGGGCGUAAAGCGAGCGCAGGCGGAAGAAUAAGUCUGAUGUGAAAGCCCUCGGCUUAACCGAGGAAUUGCAUCGGAAACUGUUUUUCUUGAAUGCAGAAG
rnacentral:rRNA from 1 species